CACUGAGGAAGUUAUCUUUUUGAAAACAACAACUUUUGAAAAACAAGCUGGUGUCAGCAAUUGAAUAUUGAGCUAAAUUUAAUUCAGCAACAUUAAUAUAAAGAAGUGAAAGACUUAUAAUGGUAGUGUAAAAUGUCUUGAAAUUCUGUCAGCAUGAAGUAUUGUGUGAUGAAAACAAUGUGUUUUUUACUGCAAUGUGGAAAUCAAUAAUAAGUUGGUUGGAAAGGGGGUUGAACUGCCUGUUGUUGUUUUUGGAAUACUGAAGAACAGUUUUAACAGGUUAAACUCUUGCCACAAGGCAAAAUUGACAUCGAUGGGAAGAUCCUUUGGAAAGAAUGUGCAUCAUCGCCUGCCUGAUGUAUGGACUUUUAAACCUGGUUUUUACCCUGCACAAGCUGGCAAACUUGAGGGGAACAAGAGUGGGAAAACCUCGCCCUGUCCUUGACCAAGAAAGCUCGAUUUGUUGAGAGAUCAACUGGCAUAAGAGAUGCUCAAGAGGAGAAGGACACAAGCAGCAUCAAUGGUACAACUACAUGUCGCUCCAGCGCCCGCUUUCCAGGUCUCUACCAGCUGCUUUCCAGGUCCCUCCACCCGCCAAGAUCAGGUCUAGGUCCCUGCACUGGCUGCUUUCCAGGUCCCCUAGCGGUCAAGGUCUCUCCAGUAGCUGCUGUGCAGGUCCCAACACCGUAUGCCGUCAAGGUCCCUCCAUAAGCUGAAAUCCAGGUUCCUCAUUCCAUUGCGGUUCAGGUACCUCC